UACGUAGGGUCCGAGCGUUGUCCGGAAUUAUUGGGCGUAAAGGGCUCGUAGGCGGUUUUGUCACGUCGGGAGUGAAAAACUUGGGGCUUAACCCCAUUCGUGCUUCCGAUACGGGCAGACUAGAGGCGAGCAGGGGAGAAGCGAAUUCUGGUGUAGCGGUGGAAUGCGCAGAUAUCAGGAGGAACACCGGUGGCGAAGGCGGCAUCCUGGACCAAACACGUGACGCUGAGUGAGCGAAAGCCAGGGGAGCGAAACGGG
rnacentral:rRNA from 1 species